GCAAGUCGAGGGAGAAGCGUUGGUUCCGUAAGGUUCCGACGUGGAAACCGGCGAACGGGUGCGUAACACGUGAGAAACCUGCCCCCCAGACCGGGAUAGCCCAGGGAAACUUGGAUUAAUACCGGAUACUCUCUUUGGAUCGCAUGAUCCGUUGAGGAAAAGUCCGCUGCUGGGGGAUGGUCUCGCGGCCUAUCAGGUAGUUGGUGAGGUAAUGGCCUACCAAGACGAUGAUGCAUAGCCGACCUGAGAGGGUGAUC
rnacentral:rRNA from 1 species